rnacentral:tRNA from 1 species
GGGCGUAUAGCUCAGCGGGAGAGCGUCUGCCUUACAAGCAGAGGGUCAUAGGUUCAAUCCCUAUUGCGCCCA